GCGCUCGUAGCUCAGCUGGAUAGAGCAACGCCCUCCUAAGGCGUGUGCCGGGAGUUCGAAUCUUCUCGAGCGCACCA
rnacentral:tRNA from 1 species